GCCACAGUAGCACAACCUGGUGGUGUUCGGCAUUGGUAAUGCCGAGGUUGGGGGUUCAAAUCCCCCCUGUGGCU
rnacentral:tRNA from 1 species